UAAGAGACACAUAUAUAAAUUGAAAAGAGCUACUAGCUAGACCACUUUCCUUGUAACAAGUUGCAUGGAAAAAGGGGAUCACGUUUCUUGAACGGGAGAAAUGCAAAUUAGAGUUCUUGUGCUUGAAGAAGCAAUUUUUAAUUAAAUGGUCCCAAGCAACUUCAAUUUGAAAAAAAAAAAGAAAUACCCACUUGAACCUUGAGAAUUACAAUAAAAAGGGCUACUUUUACUUUUCAAAAAAAAAAAAUUUAAUCAAAAAGACGAUU
rnacentral:lncRNA from 1 species